UUCUAUAUAAAAACGACUCCUGGUGCCUUGCUCCCAUUACUUCCCGUUUUCUCCAUCUGCUGUUAGUCCGCUUCGACUUGUAGCUUCGCCCUCAACAUGCCGGAGCCAGCGAAAUCCGCUCCUGCGCCCAAGAAGGGCUCGAAGAAGGCAGUGACUAAGGCCCAGAAGAAAGACGGCAAGAAGCGCAAGCGCAGCCGCAAGGAGAGCUACUCCGUGUACGUGUACAAGGUGCUGAAGCAGGUCCACCCUGACACCGGCAUUUCCUCUAAGGCCAUGGGAAUCAUGAACUCCUUCGUCAACGACAUCUUCGAGCGCAUUGCGGGUGAGGCUUCCCGCCUGGCGCAUUACAACAAGCGCUCGACCAUCACCUCCAGGGAGAUCCAGACAGCCGUGCGCCUGCUGCUGCCCGGGGAGUUGGCCAAGCACGCCGUGUCCGAGGGCACCAAGGCCGUCACCAAGUACACCAGCGCUAAGUAAACCUGCCAAGCUGUACCCAGCUCUGCCUUGCUUGCUUCCGUCUCACCCCCCGUUUCCACCUCUCCAGCCCACAAGACAUCGGGAAGAUGCCAGACCACCAGGCAGGAUAGUCUGCAAGGCUUAUAGAAAAGGAAAAGCAACUGGAUCCAGAAGGGGAAACAGACUGAGACUAGAGACAGUCCGCCCCGAAGCAAGAAGUUGGAGUAGAGGAGAAGACCAGCAGCACAGGGUCUGAGCAGAGUUAGGUGGGUUUUAUUGUGUAACUGGAGGCUAGAAUGGCUAUGCCGGUGAUAAGCAGUGUGGAACUUUUUUGGAAGAACCAAGUGAAAGAAAGGGUCCACGAAUUUUAAGCUAGGUUGUUACCUGGCUAAAUUUGUGAUUUAGAAAUGCAGGCCAGUUUCACAGGGAAAUUUUUAAUGUAUAUGUGUCUGUAUAUAUAUUUAAAACAUAUUUGGCCAUGCAUUGUUCUAGUCUUUGGGGAUAUUGCCCGCCCUUGAGCAUUUGGAGAUUAGCAAGGUCGUAUUGGAAAACUUUAAAUACAUGCAAAGCAUAUGUUCACUGUUCAUCUAAGUCUUAUUUAUCCUAUCAGCAAUUUUGGGGUUACAUUAAUAUUCUAAGAAAUGUAUCAACAAGUAAUUAUAUUUAUUGUUUACCUAUAUAGAAGGCACUGAUCUAUAUCUAUACCUAUAUAGGAGGCAAUCACUUGAAGUCAGGAAUUCGAAAGCAGCAUGGCUAACAUAGUGAAACCCGUCU